UACGGGGGGGGCAAGCGUUGUUCGGAAUUACUGGGCGUAAAGGGCUCGUAGGCGGCCAACUAAGUCAGACGUGAAAUCCCUCGGCUUAACCGGGGAACUGCGUCUGAUACUGGAUGGCUUGAGGUUGGGAGAGGGAUGCGGAAUUCCAGGUGUAGCGGUGAAAUGCGUAGAUAUCUGGAGGAACACCGGUGGCGAAGGCGGCAUCCUGGACCGAUUCUGACGCUGAGGAGCGAAAGCCAGGGGAGCAAACGGG
rnacentral:rRNA from 1 species